rnacentral:rRNA from 1 species
UACGUAGGCAGCAAGCGUUGUUCGGAGUUACUGGGCGUAAAGGGUGUGUAGGCGGUUGUUUUAAGUUUGGUGUGAAAUCUCCCGGCUCAACUGGGAGGGUGCGCCGAAUACUGAAUGACUUCGAGUGCGGGAGAGGAGAGUGGAAUUCCUGGUGUAGCGGUGAAAUGCGUAGAUAUCAGGAAGAACACCCGUGGCUAAGGCGGCUCUCUAGUACGGUACUGACGCUGAGACGCGAAAGCGUGGGGAGCGAACAGG